AAACCAGCACCUCAAGUGGUCAGGAUGAUUAUUGGGCCUAAAGCAUCCGUAGCCUGUUCUGUAAGUUUCCGGUUAAAUCCAUUAGCUCAACUAAUGGGCUGCCGAAAAUACUGCAGAACUAGGGAGUGGGAGAGGUAGACGGUACUCGGUAGGAAGGGGUAAAAUCCUUUGAUCUAUUGAUGACCACCUGUGGCGAAGGCGGUCUACCAGAACACGUUCGACGGUGAGGGAUGAAAGCUGGGGGAGCAAACCGGAUUAGAAACCCCGGUAGUCC
rnacentral:rRNA from 1 species